rnacentral:sRNA from 2 species
UGGAAACUUGAAGCAACCUGGGAAAGCCGUUGCUCGACGCCGUCUCGGAAACAAGCCUUCGUUCGAGACCACCCCGAGGGCAGAAGGACGGUGGAUGGGACAGGAAAUGGUUGACUGAUACAGCGCUCUUGAGUAGGACUCGGAGAUGAAUACUGGUAUGGACUGUUAGUAGUAGUAGUAGUAGUAGUGCUACUGCUACUUGCCAGGAGUCUCGCCGCAAGUCAACCUUCCCCCCUGUCUAAUCCAGAGCCAGCCUGCGAAAAGCAAAUAACUAAUUUAACAUAAAACAA